ACGCUGGCGGCAGGCCUAACACAUGCAAGUCGAGCGGAUGACAGGAGCUUGCUCCUGGAUUCAGCGGCGGACGGGUGAGUAAUGCCUAGGAAUCUGCCUGGUAGUGGGGGACAACGUUUCGAAAGGAACGCUAAUACCGCAUACGUCCUACGGGAGAAAGCAGGGGACCUUCGGGCCUUGCGCUAUCAGAUGAGCCUAGGUCGGAUUAGCUUGUUGGUGAGGUAAUGGCUCACCAAGGCGACGAUCCGUAACUGGUCUGAGAGGAUGAUCAGUCACACUGGAACUGAGACACGGUCCAGACUCCUACGGGAGGCAGCAGUGGGGAAUAUUGGACAAUGGGCGAAAGCCUGAUCCAGCCAUGCCGCGUGUGUGAAGAAGGUCUUCGGAUUGUAAAGCACUUUAAGUUGGGAGGAAGGGUUGUAGAUUAAUACUCUGCAAUUUUGACGUUACCGACAGAAUAAGCACCGGCUAACUCUGUGCCAGCAGCCGCGGUAAUACAGAGGGUGCAAGCGUUAAUCGGAAUUACUGGGCGUAAAGCGCGCGUAGGUGGUUUGUUAAGUUGGAUGUGAAAGCCCCGGGCUCAACCUGGGAACUGCAUCCAAAACUGGCAAGCUAGAGUACGGUAGAGGGUGGUGGAAUUUCCUGUGUAGCGGUGAAAUGCGUAGAUAUAGGAAGGAACACCAGUGGCGAAGGCGACCACCUGGACUGAUACUGACACUGAGGUGCGAAAGCGUGGGGGAGCAAACAGGAUUAGAUACCCUGGUAGUCCACGCCGUAAACGAUGUCAACUAGCCGUUGGAAUCCUUGAGAUUUUAGUGGCGCAGCUAACGCAUUAAGUUGACCGCCUGGGGAGUACGGCCGCAAGGUUAAAACUCAAAUGAAUUGACGGGGGCCCGCACAAGCGGUGGAGCAUGUGGUUUAAUUCGAAGCAACGCGAAGAACCUUACCAGGCCUUGACAUGCAGAGAACUUUCCAGAGAUGGAUUGGUGCCUUCGGGAACUCUGACACAGGUGCUGCAUGGCUGUCGUCAGCUCGUGUCGUGAGAUGUUGGGUUAAGUCCCGUAACGAGCGCAACCCUUGUCCUUAGUUACCAGCACGUUAUGGUGGGCACUCUAAGGAGACUGCCGGUGACAAACCGGAGGAAGGUGGGGAUGACGUCAAGUCAUCAUGGCCCUUACGGCCUGGGCUACACACGUGCUACAAUGGUCGGUACAGAGGGUUGCCAAGCCGCGAGGUGGAGCUAAUCUCACAAAACCGAUCGUAGUCCGGAUCGCAGUCUGCAACUCGACUGCGUGAAGUCGGAAUCGCUAGUAAUCGCGAAUCAGAAUGUCGCGGUGAAUACGUUCCCGGGCCUUGUACACACCGCCCGUCACACCAUGGGAGUGGGUUGCACCAGAAG
rnacentral:rRNA from 1 species